CCAGAAGACGUUUAAGGACCACGCAGUACACUUCAGAUUCUGAUACGAUGCCACCUCUGGAGCCUAUAGGAGGACUAUAACAAAGAGUCAACAACACCAUAAAACAACUGGAUAACAACAAGGCCUCAC